UACGUAGGGGGCAAGCGUUAUCCGGAUUUACUGGGUGUAAAGGGAGCGUAGACGGCAGGGCAAGUCUGGAGUGAAAGCCCGGGGCCCAACCCCGGGACUGCUUUGGAAACUGCCAUGCUAGAGUGCUGGAGAGGUAAGCGGAAUUCCUAGUGUAGCGGUGAAAUGCGUAGAUAUUAGGAGGAACACCAGUGGCGGAGGCGGCUUACUGGACGGUAACUGACGCUGAGGCUCGAAAGCGUGGGGAGCAAACAGG
rnacentral:rRNA from 1 species